AAUCGCCAUUUCUAUCAAAUUUAAAGUUAUAAAUAAAAUGGAAGACUGUAGAAGCCCUGUCGGUAACUCUUCUAAUUCAUAUAGGCUUAGCCUUUGAGGUUCAUCGAGAGAUAUAUCUUGAAUGGCGAAUAAAUUUUGCUUUUCCUUCAAAGAAUCAGGAAGUGCAAAUGUUCCUGGUACUAUAGAUAUGAAAUUGGGGUAUAGCAAAUAAAGUGCCUGUGAGACUGCCGUUAUAACUUCAGGAACAUAACGGUGGCUGUAACUUUGAAACUUCAAGAAUAAAUUGGCAAUAUACAGCUUCUUGCAAACAUCUGAUAGAGAAUCAGCAGGAGAUUGGGACAAAGACUCUGCCAUUGUAAGCAUAACAGGACUUACAACAAUAUGCUUUUUAUCUGAAGUUGGGAAGAUUGAACCAGUCAGAUUGAAAAACAAUAAGUCAGAAAUUUCAGGAAACUUAAUUUCCGGAUACACAUAAGAUUUUGCUAGGCGUUUGCGCAUCCCUUCAACAACUGAAAUAAAGGAUAUUCCUAAAGCACUGGGAAACUGUUGUGCCAAAGAGUGUAGAUGCUCAGUCAAAUGCUCCAAUAACUCCAUUGAAAUCAUAGGUUGACGAGUUAAGUGAAGUAUAUGUUGUAAUAAAAUAACAGAAAAAUUUUCAAGGCGCGAUUUGUUAUCUGGAUGCAGCUUAACAUGAUGCAAAGUACGUAUACGAGAGACUACAGUUGGAUAAUCCUUAUAAUCCAGGCCUUUAAGAAGUUGAACAAACUCUACGUGAGAAGUAGGACACGGGUACGUAUAUGCUAAAGA